UGUUACUCAAUUCAAAAACCUGAGAAGAAAUUGAAAUAAGUUGGAGUGUCCUGACUGCAGAUUAACCCACCAUAUGAACAUGUUUGUAUGAGGGGAAAAAGUAUUUUUAAGAGUUAUUUUAUAAACUCUUUCUUUCUACUGUAAAACAUUUGAAUCAUCUGGAUGCAUGUGUAGUAAUAAAUUAAAUAUUUCAAAGACCAUUUUUUGGCAUAAAAGCAGCAAUGAAUAGCCCAUGACUAUGCUAUUAAGCUAUUUUAAAUGUUAGUGUGCUAAGAUAAAAUCUGUCUACUAACAAAUUCUGGCCCAAUGCAUCUCUCAAAAUAAGCCUAGGAAUUAUUCUGGAGUGUUAAUUGGCCAGGACAAAAAAUAUGUUAGUGUCUCUUUGAACAGAUUUGAAGCGCAAAUGAUUGAGUUCAAAUGCCCAGGAACAAUCUCUUGGAAGUGUUUAAUCUUUUACAGACAUAACCUCUACCCUCAAAUUCAAGAUGUUGAUGUUUGGGGGGUUUUUUAUGAGCAGCAAAUGUUUAUAUAACUUACCAUCAGAGUCUGACACUGCUGUUUCAGAUGUCUGAGAUACCAUGGAGACAUCUUCUGGCCUUUCUGCCAAAUUAUCCCCUUGCAAUCUAAAUUGUGGAAAAAUGCAAUGAAAACAUUUGCAAUCAUAUUCAAUGGAUAAGACACAGAAGAAGAUUAUCCCUGGUUAUUUAUCCUGCUCAUAACAUUGCCCAAAUUAAAAUAACAGCUUUGCUGAAAAGCCCACACUCAUGGUUCAAUCAUAACCUGGACUGUCUAAAACUAGCCUCCAAGAAACAGCCAACUGAAUCCUAGCUUAAGCAUUUUUGUAAGUCUUAUUUUACAAAAGUGGGGGUUUGGUGCGCAUGUGAGACUGCAAGUUUCCUUCCCUACAUUGAAAAAAAUUUAAUUGAAUAGCACUAUAUUGGAUGCCCAUGUCAAUGUGUUGGCAGUGCAGUGGCCUUGGUGAGGAGAGGCUGGGGCUGCCCUGAGCCAGUCACAGGUGGUUCCAUCUGGCUCCAAAAAGAACCACAGCAGGGCACAGCUGAGCUCUUCAGCCAAAAUGGUGGCACCUUGGAGGAAACAUAGUUAAGGAAGAGCCAGCCACAACGCCACACAGGCAGAAGAGCAGGGAACAGGAAGAGUGGGGCACAGCAGACGACACACCAAGGUCAAAGGAGAUGGUGCUCUGUACUCUGAGUAGAUACUCCCCUACAGCCCAUGCUGAUAUGCCAGGGGCAAUAUCCACGCAGCCCCGGGAGGACCAACACCCAGGCAGUGGGUUUUCUUGCUUAGAGGACAUUGUUUCAGUUUUAUUAAACAGCUGCAUGUUGGAGCUUCAGGAGCUACAAAAGCAAACAGCCUACAGAGGUGAACGACAACAGAAACUGAAACUCCACUUGAGAAGAAAUCCUGAAAACCUGCUAUUUCAAGAAAAUACAAAUGCUUCUGCUGACUUUUUAGUAGUGAAGAAAAAUUCCUUCAGGGCUCCAGGACAGUAAAGGGCACUCUCCAAGGAAGAGGGGGGAAAUUGCAUGUCUAAGCACUGCAGCUCCAGCCAUUCUCUUUGCUUUGCCCUGUGUCAGCUAAAUUUUGUUGAAUCUGAAUAAACACUGUAAAAAAUUUUGGUUUCUGUGAAACAUUAUUCCUGAAAACACACAUUUAAUUGGAAAAUUCCCGAUCUCCAUUGCUAAAGACUCAG